GUCUACGGCCGUGCCACCCUGAACGAGCCCAAUGUCUGAUCUCCGAAGCUAAGCAGGGUCGGGCCUGGUUAGUACUUGGAUGAGAGACCACUCAGGAAGACCAGGCGCCGUAGGCA
rnacentral:rRNA from 1 species